GGAGGGGUUGCCCAAGCGGUCAACGGGUCCGGGCUGUAAACCCGGUGGCUCAGCCUUCGGAGGUUCGAAUCCUCCCCCCUCCA
rnacentral:tRNA from 1 species